CAGAGUUGAUCCUGGCUCAGGACGAACGCUGGCGGCGCGCCUAACACAUGCAAGUCGAACGAGAGAGAAGGAGCUUGCUUCUUCGAUCGAGUGGCGAACGGGUGAGUAACGCGUGAGGAACCUGCCUCAAAGAGGGGGACAACAGUUGGAAACGACUGCUAAUACCGCAUAAGCCCACGGGUCGGCAUCGACCUGAGGGAAAAGGAGCAAUCCGCUUUGAGAUGGCCUCGCGUCCGAUUAGCUAGUUGG
rnacentral:rRNA from 1 species